UAUACUACGACGAUCAAAUAUGUCGGUAUAUUUGAUUUUCAUUUUUAAAUCGCCAAAGUAAGAAAAAGUCACCGUAGAUUAAUUUAAAACUUAAUUAAUGGAAUACGAAAUAAUAGUUUGUGCAAUAUAAAAUAUAUGAAAUAGAUACUCGUUGCGAUAGAAAAUCAUAAUCAACACAAUACUUUAAUAUUUCCAAUUACAGCAACAAGAUUCGAAUAGAACGUAUUUUCCGUACAAUCUACGAUAUCGAGGGAAAGAUUAAUUGUGACGAAGAAGAAUGAAUUUUACAUUGACAUGUAUAAAGUAAUGAUUCUUGUAAAUGUGACUUUACGACAUCUUGAUAAUGAAAUAAGAUGUGAUUUUUUAUUUCUUUAUCUUUUAUUUUUUUUUAUGAAAUACGCGAAUGAAAAUAUUCCUGAUGAGUCAAUACUUCGCAAAAAUUAUUUAACCGGUUCAUACAAAUUAAAAAUGCGUAAUAUUAUAAUAAAAAUUACAUGCGGAUUGCCAUAGAGAAGAAGACUGACAAAAUUGAACGAUGUAUAACAAAUCUAAUUUUGGAAAAAUGUGUGAGAAUAAAACGACAUUACUUGAUUUAUUUUCGAGCAAAGAAUUAGAAGAAAACAAAUUACGUGAACAUAGCAUGCAAUUGUACGAAAACGUAGGCGAACUGCCACUGGCGUAUUAAUCGAUUGAACGUCAACCGUGCAAUCAUGGGGGAAUCUCUGCUUUGACGAGUCGUUACUAAUUAGGGCUGGGCCAUUUGACGAGACUUCCAAUGGACAUUAUAAUGACUGAUUGUGAGUAUCGGUGAUAAGUGGUAAAAUGAUAUAGGAGCUUAUACGCAUAUAUACAUAC